UAUUCAAUCUGGCCCAGAGCAUUUUCCUUAUUUUUCUAAUCCGGUUACAGUAACUGUUAUCCUUCGAAUGAAUCAAAUUGUUUUGCGAAACUCGUUCUUUAUUUUGUAGCAUUCAAUUAAAGCUCUCCUUGUUUUAUCUCUCCCCAAUCAACACUGUAGUUUUUACUGCUGCAGCCCCCUAUUGGUUACUUCACUACAAAGACAAAAGUUCAACUCACUUUUGUCCUGUUGACUCCCUCCACAUAGUCAGAAUUUGUCUUGUUUUGGUGGAAUUAACCCUUUUUUCUUCCAGUUUGAGUCUGUUUUUGCAGGUUAUUUUGCAGGUUGUUCCACACAGAAGCUAUCCUUGGAGGCUGCCAAGAAGAGAGAGAGGAAACGAGAACUGGAAGUUCAGCCUAUGAAAGUCCAGAACACUCUGGCCUACAUCAUGGACUUGGACCCACACCCAAUGAGGAGAAGAUGAAGUUCUUGUUUCUUUAGAAAGUUUGUGUUGUGUCGCACCACAUUGGAUGCCGAAGAAGUUGGCCAAAGACCUUUGAAGAAGCAAUUCUUUUUUGUCAUUGUUUAUAAUUGUAAAUAGUUUUUCUUGUAUGUAUGUAUGUAUGUAUAUAUUUAAAAUAGUUUUAUUUAUACUAUAGAGAGUGUAAUAUGUCAUGUUAGAUUAUAGUUUCAGUUCCUGUAUGUGUAUAUAGUUAUAGUUCCUGUAUGUGUAUAGUUAUAUAAGUUUUAUAUUUAUAACAAGUGAAACAUCAUGGCAAAGCCAUGAUGUUUCACUUGUGAGAGUAAAUCUGUCGGGCCUCACCUUGACACUCAGGCAACAACCCUGAGUGCCACAUGGCCAGACAGGACACAUGUAAAAUAAAAAACAUAGCAAAAUUUUUUAUUUUAUUUAUAUUCUUUAAAUGUUGUAAUUUUAGUUCAUUGUAAACUUUACCUGCAAAAACCUUGUAGAAAUCUUUAACAUUGUUCAAUAUA